AGCAAAACAUAGAUUUUCACUGAUAAAAACAAAAACAAAUCCAAAAAAAUAAAAAAUGAUUUGUUCCUCUAGCUUACACAUGUCCAAUAUUCCUCCUGCAUCAUCUCUUGCUGACUCCGGUUCAGGCACCAGAACUCCGGCAAGCUCUGAAACUUCCUAUGAACCUCAGCCACAGCCGCAGGUUCGAAGGAUUAAAGCUAGCCCUCAGCUAAAUCGUUGGUCCAGAGCUCGAAGCAUCCGGUCCGGACGGAAACUAGACCGGCCGGUUCUCAGUUCCACCACUGAAUUACGUACUAAGUCCGGUUCACCGGUUCGGAGUGAAGAGGAAAUUGAGUUGCCUGUGACUAGUGGAAGCCGGUCCGGUUCAUCUGAGGAUGAAAAGGAAGUUAACGGAGGGAAGUCGAUAUUUAUUGUAUCUGAUGGAACUGGAUGGACUGCUGAACACGCCGUUAAUGCAGCACUAGGACAAUUUGAUUAUUGCUUAGUUGAUCGUGUUUGUGCUGUGAAUACUCACUUGUUCUCCGGGAUUGACGAUGUUGAUCAAUUAAUGGAGAUACUAAAGCAAGCAGCCAAAGAAGGGGCAAUGGUUGUCUAUACUUUAGCUGAGCCUUCCAUGGCUGAAUCUGCCAAACAAGCAUGUCAACACUGGGGUGUAGCAUCUAGUGAUAUACUGGGCCCACUUACAGACGCAAUUGGUGGCCAUCUAGGUGUUUCCCCUUCUGGACUCCCUCGCUGGGCCCCGGAGAGGCAAAAAACUCCUCUCAGCGAGGAAUAUUUCAAAAGGAUUGAAGCAAUUGAAUUUACCAUAAAACAAGAUGAUGGUGCCUUGCCUCGAAACCUGCACAUGGCUGAUAUAGUUCUAACAGGUGUUUCACGAACGGGGAAGACACCGCUGUCCAUUUAUCUAGCACAGAAAGGGUAUAAAGUAGCUAAUGUGCCAAUCGUCAUGAAUUUAGAGUUACCCAAGACUCUCUUUGAAAUUAACCCGGAAAAGGUAUUUGCCUUGACUAUAAAUCCUGUUGUUCUGCAAUCCAUCAGAAGAGCAAGAGCUAAGACUCUGGGUUUUGACGGAGAACUAAAGACCAACUAUUGUGACAUGGAUUACGUGAAACAAGAUUUGGAAUAUGCGGGGAAAAUUUUUGCGCAAAACCCUGUCUGGCCAGUGAUAGAAGUUACAGCUAAAGCUAUUGAAGAAACAGCUGUCAUUGUUCUGAGACUUUACCAUGACAGAAAGAACAGGUGUUCAAUGCCAAGAAUUUCCAAACGCUAUUAAACCGUUGGUCUCAAGCAUUGAUGGAUCAGAUCUCGAGGUUCAACGAGAGACAAUACUUGAAACUAAGCCAAGACAUCUUCUUUGGUCUGGCAAUGCCAGAGCAACAAACGUACAAUGGUUGCAACUUAUGAAUAACAGCUGCAAACAACAAAAGGAAGCAGUUGGCAUAGGAUCGCAAAAGAAACCGAGAUGAGUGAGAGGCAGGAAAUGAAGGAAUGGUGAGAAAUAUAGCAAAAUGGUUGGUUACUCCUUUGUUCUUCAUUAAAAUUUUGUGAAUUUAACUUAUACACAGCGUAUGUCAACUCUCUUAUUUGUGUAUUAAAACCUAUUGUAAU